rnacentral:rRNA from 1 species
GGCGUAAGCGUGUUUAAGCACUACGCCAAAUAAAGUUAAACUCCAAUUAAGCUGUAAAAAGCCAUAAUCAAGACGAAAAUAAAUAACGAAAGUAACUUUACAACCGCUGAAACACGAUAGCUAAGAUCCAAACUGGGAUUAGAUACCCCACUAUGCUUAGCCCUAAACAUAAAUAGUUAUAUAAACAAAACUAUUCGCCAGAGUACUACCGGCAAUAGCUUAAAACUCAAAGGACUUGGCGGUGCUUUAUACCCUUCUAGAGGAGCCUGUUCUAUAAUCGAUAAACCCCGAUAGACCUUACCACCCCUUGCUAAUACAGUCUAUAUACCGCCAUCUUCAGCAAACCCUAAAAAGGAACAAAAGUAAGCACAAUCACUAUACAUAAAAACGUUAGGUCAAGGUGUAACCUAUGGAGUGGAAAGAAAUGGGCUACAUUUUCUAAUCUAAGAAAACUCUUUACGAAAGUUACUAUGAAAUUAGUAACCAAAGGAGGAUUUAGCAGUAAACUAAGAAUAGAGUGCUUAGUUGAAUUAGGCCAUGAAGCACGCACACACCGCCCGUCACCCUCUUCAAAUAGGCACAAUACACUUAAAUUUAAUUAUACGUAUUAAUCAUAUGAGAAGAGAUAA